AUUGAACGCUGGCGGAAUGCUUUACACAUGCAAGUCGAACGAUGAACCUUAGCUUGCUAGGGGGAUUAGCGGCGAACGGGUGAGUAAUAUAUCGGAACGUGCCCAGUCGUGGGGGAUAACUGCUCGAAAGAGCAGCUAAUACCGCAUACGACCUGAGGGUGAAAGCGGGGGAUCGCAAGACCUCGCGCGAUUGGAGCGGC
rnacentral:rRNA from 1 species